CCCACAGGGGUUGGACAUGCAGGUUGGACACCCCUGGUAAGGCUUCCCCUGGCCAGGCCCUGAGCUAGGUGCUAAUCCCCAAACAACUAUUUCGGGUUCUCAGUCCUGGCUACGCAUCAAAACCACUUGAGGGGGCUUAGCAAUAUCCCAUGAACUGAGUCCGCCCCCAGGUCAAUCCCACCAGGUAGGUUCUGGGGGUGGAGUAGGCAUCUGUAUUUUGGGGGGCAUGCUAUAAUUUAAAGUGUAUUUAAACACCAAUGUGCACAGCAGUGUUAUUCACAAGAGGCAAAAUGUGGAAGCAACUCAAAUAUCCACCAAUGAUGGAUGGAUGAACAGCUGUGGUCCAUCCAAGUAAUGAUCAUUCAGCCAUGAAGAGGGAGGGAAUUCUGACACACACUACAACGUGGACGGACCUUGAGGAUAGCAAGCCAGUCACAAAAGGACAAACACUGUAUGACGCCCCUCACACGAGGGACCUAGGGGAGUCAGGCUCAGAGACACGGAAAGCAGGAUGGAGGGUGCCGGGAGCUGGGGGAGGGGAGCGGGGAGUUCGUGUUUAAUGGGGGCAGAGCCUCAGUCUGGGAAGACGGAAAAGUUCUGGAGAUGAUGGUGCUGGUUGUUUACACAACAGUGUGAAUGUUGUGAAACUUAAUGCUACCUAAACAUGAUUAAAACGGUCAAUUUCAUGUUAUGCAUAUUUUACCACAUUAAAUGAAAUACAUUCAAAAUCCCCAGAUGACAGAGUGUGCAGCGAGGGGUCAGCACUGCCGGUCCAGUCUAAGGGGGCAGGUGCAACCCCCACCGUACACAUGAGGAGCUCACAACAACAUAGAAGGGGACGGUGACGUGCUCCAGGUCAUAACUGCCUGUCUGAAGGAGGACCCCUCCUUGGGGCCACCUCGUUGUCCUGAGUCAUGACAGAGGCUCGAACCAGCUCUCCGCCUCUGGAAACACUCUCCUGUCUCCACGUGGCCCUAAGCCCAGGGAGGCCAUUCUCCAGCAGCCCCCUGCUAGGGAGUGCUAUCGACAGUGCUGGGGGGCCCCCGGUCCGAUGCUCAGCACACCCAACACCACACCCUCACUGCCCUUUGCUCACUCACCUCCCCCACCAGCCUGUAAACUCCCGGGGACAGAGAGGCUUGCAGGGCCCUGCUUUGGCUCCGAGGUGUAUGCAGACAACAAACCGGGAACAGGGCACACCUGCAUUCCGAUUUCCCUUCUGCUAGUUGCCAGCUGUGCAGCCUCCAGCAAAUGGUAUCACCUCUCUGAACCUCAGUUCCCUCAGCUGUAAACGGGCUAACAGUAGCACCCACCUCUUGCAGAUGCUGACCAGGUUAAAUGUGGUAUUUCGUGUUGAAUGCCCUGCCCUUUGUAGCUGCUCAAUAAAUGGUGGCUAUUGAGUUCAGCGGGACCUUGAUUAAAGACAGUUCACCUCUGAGAAACGGUCAGGAUGACCAGAGAACCCCUGACUGCCCAUCAACAGAGAGAUGCUUAAGGAAGCCGUGGCCCACAUGUGCGGUGUAGUCCUAGAGAGCAGGGAAAAGAAUGAAGGGUGCGAGAUCUGCCAAGGAUUCCACCAUCACAACAUCCAAAGUGCAGAAGCAAAACCACACACAUGCCUGUGUUUUCCUACACACUUACAUGCACGGGCUGCAUAUACAUGGAUCUAACACAUAAGAGGGGGCAGACAUGUGUCAGGCUGAUGACAGCUGUCUUCCUGGGUAGGGGGGAAGUAGCUUGCGGGGGGGCGGGGGCGGGGCAGGGCAGGGCACAGAGCAACUUCAGCUUUAUCUACACUGUUUCAACUCCUGCAGGAAGCCAUAUCCACAUACUGUGCAUUUAAUUAAAAAGAAAUAAAGACAAAUCCCCAGAGGUUUCAGAAAUUAGGAUCAAUUUCUGUUCCUUCCACAGAAUUAUCAGAUUGGUCAGAAUCCCACCUUCUUAGAGAGAGCUGGAGGGUAGCUGAGAUCUUACCGUUUCCAACCUCUCAGGGGUCUAGCAGAUCACCUGGAUUGUGAAACAAUACACGUUCAUUGAUCAAUCAGAACGUACAGAACAGUGUUAGGGAAGAGAGUAAAGUGCACAAGAAUGCCGUCACGUGGGCUCAUGGCCUGCACGUUUGCAUGUUGGUGACCGUCAUGGUAUGUGUUCUCUUGCUGUACACACACACACACACACACACCAGUAUAAAAGUGUAGAUGCUAGCCUAUCUCAUACAUGUUGGCUUUUUUUAAACUGCACCUCCGAAUCCAUGCUAACUCAGUGACAUGUAUCAGGGUCGCACAAACACUUUCUGUGAAGGGCUAGACAGCAAACACUCCAGGCUUUUGUGGCCACACUCUGCUGUGGCAUGAAUGGGCGGGGCCGGGUCCCCAUAAAACCCUUAUUUAGAAAGCCAGGAGGUGGGCUGGAGAGCCCGCUGGCCCCCGGUAUCUAUCAGCUCAGAUCUUUCUCCACAGCCACACAUAAUCUAACACGCAUGUGCAGAAAUUUAUUUUGUCCUCAGUUUCCGUGGCUGUGUUCCUCAGCUUGUUUUACAAAAAGGGCAUCACGUGAUACCUAGGUCUCUGCCUCAUGC